GGCGCCGUGAAAUUACAACUAGUUACCUCUGGCUGCUGCACUGUCACGGCAGAGGUCGCGAGUUCGAGUCUCGUCGUCCCCGCCA
rnacentral:tRNA from 1 species